ensembl:lncRNA
GACAGGAAGUGGUUUAAUCAAACGGGCGUCAUUUAUGGGCACUGACCAGCGAGCACCUGGAGUGAGAGUGGCCUCGACUCACUGCUGGAGAACAUGGUGACGUUUGGCUUUUCAUACAUUUGGAUUAGCAUGGACCUCCAAGCUCCCCUGUUUGUGCUCCAGCUGCAGUUGGUGCAGCAACGCAGACACUGCAAUGCCCCAUCACUGAAAGUGUGUGUGAGCUGAUGUGAGCAGCAUGGAUCAGUGUGAGGACAGAGAGGAGCGAGUCCCUCCCUCUAAAACCACUCUGUGUGGGGAACAUGAGAGCCAGACCAAAGCUCAGAGGAACCCACCUGGACCUCCACCCAGCUCUGUGUCCUUACAGAGUGACCGAGUAAAAAAAUUGAUCAAUAAAUUUGAACAAAGAAGGUUGUCUGAGAAAAAGCUCCAUCAGAGACUCAAACCUGGACCUAAACCCAGCUGUGUGUCCUUAAAGAGCGACCAGUCUGAAUAUCGCGUGAUUAAGUUUAAAGUCCAGCCUCCGUCUGCUGCGGAGAG